AACAGAUCUCAUUCAACAUUACGUUCCACUUCAGAGUUCUGCUACAAUUUUGCACAGGUAUGCACAAAAUUACGAUAUUUUAAAUUGCAGUAAGGCACCAAGAGAGGUCAUAAAAGGCAAAAGAAAUACUUUAUGUUAUUAUCGAUGAAACCAGAUUACAAUGAAGGAAAUGAUUCUUCUCAGAACGAGCAUCACAAAAGUUGCAAACAUUUAUCUACAUAAUUUAAACAGCGAUCGAAGUUCAGAAACUAGCACAGCACAAAGCAGAAAACAUUACAGUCGAAUAGGUAUGUCCUUCCAUAUGCAUAAUCAGAAGAAAUUCACCCUUGAUUGUUCCAUCCUCUAAUUCCAUAUCUUUUAUAAACCGCUGGUUACAUUUUUGUCAGAAGAUCACGAGAAACAUGUAGCGUUUAGGUCUCUAGUCCCGUCAUAUUGUAAUUAACUUUGCAAAUGAGAAAGAUCGGACCUUGAUAUGAAACCUCUGUUUAAAGCUGGCUGUCGUGAACAUCUCUUUUUUCUCCAAUCAGGUUUUGAUUGCUGUCUUUCUGUGAUUAGUUGUUGUGAUCUUUCUCAGUUCCUGCAACAUCUUGACGAAAGUGACAAAUUUAUCGCAUAAAAGCUCGAUUCCUUCAGGCUUGACCAUAUUCUACAUCCACCUUAUUGCCCAACACUACGGCUCUCUGUCACUAAACACGUUUUUCUUGCUGACAUAUACUN
rnacentral:lncRNA from 1 species